CUUGGUCAUUUAGAGGAAGUAAAAGUCGUAACAAGGUCUCCGUUGGUGAACCAGCGGAGGGAUCAUUACCGAGUUUACAACUCCCAAACCCCUGUGAACAUACCUAUCGUUGCUUCGGCGGACCACCCCAACCCCUUCGGGGCGCGGGGCCCGCCAGAGGACACCCAAAAUUCAAAUGUAUUUUGCCUUUACAAAUUUAUUCUGAGUGGAAUUUUUAAAUAAAUCAAAACUUUCAACAACGGAUCUCUUGGCUCUGGCAUCGAUGAAGAACGCAGCGAAAUGCGAUAAGUAAUGUGAAUUGCAGAAUUCAGUGAACCAUCGAAUCUUUGAACGCACAUUGCGCCCGCCAGUAUUCUGGCGGGCAUGCCUGUUCGAGCGUCAUUUCAACCCUCAAGCCCCCGGGCUUGGUGUUGGGGAUCGGCACAAGGCGCUGGCACCCUCGGGAGCCCGCGCCCGCCGUCCCCCAAAUCCAGUGGCGGUCACGCCGUGUGUACCUCAGCGUAGUAGCAACACCUCGCUCCGGAACCCUUCUGUGAACCACGCCGUAAAACCCCCGACUUUUUUCUGGUUGACCUCGAAUCAGGUAGGACUACCCGCUGAACUUAAGCAUAUCAAUAAGCGGAGGA
rnacentral:rRNA from 1 species